rnacentral:rRNA from 1 species
GACGAACGCUGGCGGCGUGCUUAACACAUGCAAGUCGAACGGCAAGGCCCUGCUUUUGUGGGGUGCUCGAGUGGCGAAGGGGUGAGUUACACGUGAGUAACCUGCCCUUGACUUUGGGGUAACUUCAGGACCCUGGGGCUAAUACCGGCUAGGAGCUCCUGCUGCCUGGUGGGGGUUGGAAAGCUUCGGCGGUUGGGGGUGGACUCGGGGCUUAUCAGCUUGUUGGUGGGGUAGUGGCUUACCAAGGCUUUGACGGGUAGCCGGCCUGGGAGGUGGGCCAGCCCCAUUAGGACGGGGAUACGGCGCAGACUGGAACGGGAGGCAACGGUGGGGAAUAUUACACAGUAGGGCGAAGCCUGACACGACAACGCCGCGUGCGGGAAGACGGCCUGGGGGUAGGGAACCGCAUUCGCCUGAGACGAAGCGUGAGUGACGGUACCGGGUGAAUAAGCACCGGCUAACUACGUG